CUCUUCCUGUGUGGAACCUGGGAUUCAAGCCGCCAGGCAAAGUGCCCUAGCAGGGACUCUGGCUUAGUGAGAGUCUCUGUUUCCCCCUUUUCUUUCUUUCCACCCAAUAAAACCGGGUCUUACUCAUCAUUCAAAUUGUCUGCGAGCCUGAAUUUUUGUGGCCGUGGGACAAAGAACCCCGUCUUUAACGGAACUAAGGAAAAGCCCUGCAACAAUUUUGGCGCGCAACGUGGGGACUUGAGAAGCGGUUGAACUCUUUUGUGUCAACUAAAAGAACAUAUGAACAUAGCAGGGCUGUCAAGAUAAGGCCACAAGCUUGCCGAGUUGGGGACCUUUGAAAUACAAGUAAGUUGGUGAUAGUAAAUCAGUGCUUUCCAGGCAAAUAAUAAUUUUAAGUAAGUAGUAGGAAAGUGAAACUGCUUAUGUCUUCCAUGCAGUGAAUUAAGCUGACUACUGUUAAAAUACUCUUGUAAUACAGUCAUACAUUAUUGGCUAUUUCUCACUAUAAAAAUGAUAAUUCAUUUUGAUAUAUCAUUAUUAAAAUGCGUCUCUUUUGUUUUUCUGUUUGUUACAAUGGAUGCAUGGUUGCUUUGAAUUUUCCAGUUCUUACUGCCAUAGAACAUGAAGAUGCCUGGGAAUUACAAUAUCCAACCAUUUAAUUAUGUGAUGUCAUAAGAAAAUGGCUUUAUUUUUAUUUGUAGGACUGUGGAAUCAGUACCUUGUAUUUAUGGGUUUUUAAAUCUAAAGGCUUAUUAGAAAGCUAACAAUGGACCAGUUAACUUACUCAUUAUCAGUUGCACAUGAUAGCUAUACUGAGUGACUUUGAAGAAAGCUUGUGUUUUCAACAGAAUACAUUCUACUGUAAAAAUUCUGUCUGUAAAUGACACUUGCCAAGAUAAUUGCUAAUUGUAACUCAUCAAAAUAUGUGUCUGGUUCAAGAGCAACAUGUUUAUUACUCCGUAUAUAUUUAUUAUUUCUGUUGAAGCCAUCCUAGAGGGGCCCUCAACAUUAUUGCUUCUGCGUACAAUAGAACUUGACAUGUAAAAUUAAUCCCUUAAAGAUAUAUAUAAAUGAAUAACUAAAGCUGCAUAUAGGUGGAUUGGGACUGGUGAUUGAAAUGUAUCUGUUAUAAUUUAGUUAAGAUUUAGUCACUAUCUUAAGGAUAACAUGUUUGGCCGUGAGUAAAACAAGGUAGUGUGAAAUAAAACAGUAGGUCAGACUUGUUUCCUCCUUUCUUUCUACCCAUUCUCACAUUUGUCUCAUCUUAUAUUUAACUAAUUUUCCAGAACAAAUAUAAAGGGUAUGAAUGACUCUAACUCUGAAGAGAGAGAAAAGCCAGAGCAAUGAUUACACCUGCCCUUCUCACUUUUAGCUCUUAGCACAUUUAUCUUGUAUUGGACACAUUUUCAAAAACUUAUAUGUUGGGCUCAUGCCUGUAAUCCCAGCACUUUGGAAGGCCAAGGUGGACAGAAUUGCUUUAGCUCAAGAAUUUGAAACUAGCUUGGGCAGCAUGGUGAAAUCCCAUCUCUAUAAAAAAAUUUUGAAAAUUAGCUGAGCAUGGUGGUAUGCACCUAUAGUCACAGCUACUGGGGAGACUGAGGUGGGAGGAUCGCUUGAGCCUGAGAGGUCGAGGCUGCAGUGAGCCAUGAUCACACCACUGCACUGCAGCCUGAGUGAUGUGAGUGAGACCCUGUCUCAAAAAAAUUUUAAAAAGCACAUGUUCACCAUUAUCAAAGUAAAAUUAAAGGUCAAAGUUAGGUACUUAUUUGUUUACCUAGUACCCACUAAUAAAAACCAAUAAUAAAAGUGUAAACUAAAUUGGGCCAUGAACCAUCAGAUCCUUUUGGACUUCAUUGGGGAAAACACCAGGAUCAGAUCCAGUGAUAGUUUAGGUGUGAAUGUAGCUAACUCCUCCAAAUUUGAAAAUUAAGGUAGUAAGAUUCUUUUUACUGGUUAGUAUCAAAAUUAAUUGCUAUAAAAUGUUCAGCCAUGAUCAAGGUUUGUAUAACAGUAAAAUAUACAAAUAUUUUGGUGAUUCUAUCAACUUCCUGACACAUAUAAUCAAAUAUUGUCUAUGUUAUAUUAUUGCCUGAAAAAGUGUAAACAAAGGUCUGCUUCCUAAGAGUUUGGUCAUAGUUACUUUAAAUCAUGAGCUGGAUAUUAGUGAGACAUAAUAAUCUUAAUCAGCAAAUAUCUACUGGGUACCUUCAAUGUGCAAGUCACUCUAGUAGACAUUAGAGGGGAAAGGCACAUGAAGCACCACUUGCACUAAAAGGUUUGAUAUCCAGAUGGAGAUAUCACAUGUGAUGUGCCCAUUGCUUCUGAUAACUCACAAUAUCCUCAAAGUAGAGAUCAACCAAAAACAGAAAAAACUAUUUGCUGAAUCAUUCUGAGAGCCCAAUUGAGGUGGAAAACCUGAAAGUGAUACAAUGGCAUUCUAUUUUGUAAUUUUAUUCAAAAUUACUUAGCAGUCCAAGUAUCACUGUAUAGAAAGAUUAGGAAAAAAGGGAAAGGUCAAAGGACCAGAUAUGUAGGAAUAUACACAUAUAUUUUUUCCAAUGGGUAUGUGUACAUAUAUACAGACAUAGAUAUACAUAUAUAUACACACAUAUACAUAUCAUAGUGAAAGUAAAGGAAUAACAGACCUAUAGAUUAAAUAAAGUAUCUUAAUUUCUUCAUUUAUCCAUAAAAAAAGAAAAAUGAAUUUGCUACAUAACUAGCCAGAUUUUAUAAAGAUAUCUUUAUUACUAACUUUUUAAAAUUUCUAUAGGUAUAAAAACAUAAUAAUCCCCUACUAAAGAACCAGGUAAUUUUGGAAAGAAUGUGGAAAUAAGGGUUUUUCUCCUUUCCUCUCUCAUUUGCCUGAUGCAAGAUUUAAGCCAGGUUUCUCAGAGUGGUCCAUUUUCUUAUCUGUGAGAUGGGAAAAAGUGGACCUUUGCUUCCUCAUUCAGAGCAAUUUCCGAGAAUAUUUGACGUAACUAUUUGAAAACAUCUUGUAACUUAUGUAAAUGUAAGACAUUUCUCUUUCUGCUGUAAUUUUCCAUGCAGCAGAAAUCUCUUUGUGUUUACUCAUUUACAAAAAUAAUUCAAUAAUUAUCUUAACACAGGUUUAAAAUGCAUAUAAAUUCUACUCGUAGGUAUCCAGGAGAAAUUAAAACAUAUCCACGCACACACACAAAAAAUUGUACACAAAUUACCAUAGCAGCGUUGUUUAUAAUAGCCAAACAGUAGAAACAACUCUAAUUUCCGUCUGAGGAACAAACAAAAGGUGUUAUAUCCAUAUAGUAGAUUGUUAUUCAUUUAUAACAAAGAAUGAAGCACAACAUGGAUUAACCUUGAAAACAAUAUAUAUUAAGAUAAAUAAUUCAGUCAAAAAGACCCUAUAUUGUAUGAUUUCAUUUAUAUAAAAUGUCUACUAGAAUAGACAAAUCCUUAGAGACAGAAAUUAGGUUAGUGAUUGCAUAGGAUUGGGGUGCAAUGGAGGAGAAUGGAGAAUGACUGCUAAUAGGUAUGGAGUUUCUUUUUGGGGUGAUGAAAUUAGGGGUGAUAGUUACAUGAGUCUGUUAAAAAUACUAAAAUCCAUUUAAUUGCACACUGUAAAUGGGUGAAUUUUAUGGUAUGUGAAUUAUUUCUCUUAAUAAAAAUGUACAAAUCACCACUUCAAAAAUAUUAUAAAAAUAGUGCUAAUUAUUUAUUAGCCUGAAGGAUAAUACAUCCAGCAAUGUAUCAAAAAGUACUUUACCUGAGCAGAUUUAGCUGUUACAUUUGCAUUUGAAUUUCAAAACCCAUUAUCUUAAAUGCAGAGAGAAGCCAGAGAACUCAGAUAGGUUUGCUCUAUCAUUAGGCAAUAUUGGAAAGAACCAUUCCUGCACUAUUGAGUCUAUAUUUUCUUACUCUUUCUCAAUAAUUUUAAGAAUUAAUUACUUUGGUUUCCAGUCUCUAAGUAGCCUUUAAAGGCUCACAUUUCUCAGGUUUUCAUGCUCCCAAAGGUUGAUUUUGAUAGGGUCUUUGUUACUGUGGAUGCUUUGUUAUAAAGAUCAAAGCAGUUUAAACCAUGUUAAUAGGAUCAAUCUAAAAUGUGGACUAAGAUGUUAAUAUUAACAGAGCAAGUCCUAGUGAAUGGGAUAACUAUAAUAAUAGUAGUACUAAAGCAUGCCAGGCACUUAUUAUUUUAUGUCCAUUUAAAAAAUAAGAACAAAGAGACCUAGGCAAAGAGAGGAUGCCUGCUUUGCCCAAAGACCAAAUUGGGUUUCAAGUUCAGGCCCUCAAAAUCUGAGCUUUUAGUCAUUACACUAAACAAGUAAGAAAGAGUUCCUUCCUCAAAAUAACUCCUUUGUAGAUGGGGAUAGAUAAUGUUCCCAUCUAGUAGAAGAAAGGAGAAAAAUUCAAUGAAGAGCCAUAUUAGGUGUUGAAAUAACCAACAUUUUUAAAUCAUUUUUACAAUUUUUGAGGGACUUUCAAUUAUGACCUCACUUGAUUUUUUGACAUCUGUUCUGCACAUUCCAAAAGCACUUAAGGCUUAUUCACUGCCACAAAAUAGCUUACCUCUGUAAUACUAAGUAACAUGAUCAGCAUCUUCAUCUUAACAGCAUUCUCCUUGGGAACAUAAACACAACACUACUGAAAGUAACACAAGUGAAUUUUACUCCAGCUUACAUUUUAGUUCUUAGAUCUCUGAGCUCUCCACUUAUAUUCUGUUAUCUACUGCUUUUCUCUGUGACCUACAGUGUGGAUUUGAAGAUGACUGGCCAAUGCAUUGGGAAUGAGACAUGUCAGAGUCAAGUAAAUAAAAUAACAGAAGAGAACAAAAGUAGGAAGACAAUAUGCCCAGUAAGUUAAAAAGUCAAAGAUUUUGCAAUGAGCAUAAACAGAGCCCUCAGGGGAUGUGGCUUAGCAAAGAGAAAACAAAUAACAAGGCACAGUCCAUGGGAGACUGGACCAACAUCUAGACAUGACACUGUGGACACAGAAUGUAGACUUCUGACUGGAUUUAGAAUUACCAAUUGCGUGAUCAUUAAAUUUAUGAGUCAAUUUUGCUGGGCUAGGAUACCCUGUUGUUUAGUCAAACACUAGUCUAGAUGUUGCUGGGGAAAAUAUUUUUAGAUGUGAUUUGCAUUUAAGUCAGUAGACCUGGAGUAAAGCAGAUUACUCUUUAUAAUGUGGAUGGAUCCUAUCCAAUCAGUUGAAGGCCUUAAAAGCAAAGACUGAAAUUUCCCAGAAAAAAAAAAAAUCUCCUCAAGAUUGAACAUAGAAACUUUGCCUGAGUUUCCAGCCUACAACCCUGAAGAAUUAGACUCAAGGCCUCAACAUCAACUCUUUACUAAAUUUCCAGGCUGUCAAUCUGCCUAUGGAUUUUAGACUUGCCAGCCCCCAUAAUCACAGAAGCCAAUUUCUUAAAGCAAUCUGAGUGUGUCUCUGUCUCAUUAUUUCUCUCAAUAUAGAGAUGGAUAUAGACAUAUAAAUGUAUCCUAUUGGUUUCAUUUCUCUGGAAAACCUUAAUUAAUACAAUUUAUCAACCUCAUAAUUUCAUGUAUGUUAUUUAACUUUCCUGAGACUUACUUUCCCCAUUUUACAAUAGGCAAAUAAUACUUAAUUUACAUAGGAUGGCGACAAGCACCCUACUUGUGCCUAGCACAAGUAAUAAUCAAUAAAUAAUAGCUGUUAUUACUUUUUUAUUGUGUUUAUUUAAGGUAUAUAGCAUGAUGUUAUGGGAUACCAAUAUGGUGCAUGAUAUUCUCUGGCAAUUCUGGGCACUGGCAAUGAACUUCAGCCCCCAGUCAGGCACAUAAUCAUGAGUAGCAGUACACUGAUACUCUACAAUAUACUGUGUUACCAGGUUAGUAUUUUUGGCAUUGUGCUUUGUGUUUUCACAUCCCAUCAUGUCUACAAAAUGCUUAUCCGUGUCUAGGUUUAUGUAAGUGUUCUGAGCACAUUUAAGAUGUGGCUAGGCUAAACUAUGAUGUUCUGUAGGAUAUGUGUACAAAAUGCAUUUUUGACUUAUGACAUUUUCAACUUAAAAUAAGUUUAUUGAAAUGUAACCCCAUUGUAAGUCAAGGAUCAUCUGUAUAAUCAUCCCACUCUCUUUUGAUUACCAUUUUCAUGGUUUCUUUUGAUUACCAUUUUCAUCUUUCUACAACCUUCACUUUCAGCCUAGUUGUGUCCUAAAAGCUUAAGUGAGUCUCUUGUAGGCAGAAUAUGAUUGAAUCUUUUUCUUUAUGCAUUCAGCCACUAUCUUGAUUGGAUAAUUUAAUCUAAUUACAUUCAAGUUUAUUAUUGAUAGGUAAGGACUUACUACUGCCAUUUUAUUAUUUCUUUUCUAGUUAUUUUGUAUCUCCUUUAUUUCUUUCUUCCUCUUUUGUCUACCUUUGUGAUUUGAAAAUUUUCUGUAGUGCCAAGUUUUGAUUCCUUUCUUUUUAUCGUUUGUAUAUUGGCUGUAGUUUUUUGUUUUGUGGUUGCCAUAAGACUUAUAUAAAACAUCCUAUAGUUACAAUCAACAAUUUUAAGUUGAUUAUUAACCUCUAUUAUAUGCAAAACUGUAAACAUUUUACACUUCCUUCACAAUUUAUGUUUUUGACGUCACAAUUUACAUUAUUUUACAUUGUGCAUUCCUUCACAACUUAUUGUAGCUUUAAUUAUGUAUGACCAUUUUAACUUUCAACCUUCAUGCUAGAGAUACGUAUGAUUUAUACACAACCAUUAUAGUAUUGGAGUACUCUGGAUUUGACUAUGGAUUUAACUCUGCUAGUGAGUUUUACACUUUCAUAUGUGUUCAUGAGAGUAAUUACCAUCCUUUCAUUUCUACCUGAAUAACUCCCUUAAGUAUUUCUUGUAGGGCAGGUCUAUUGGCAUUAAAUUCCUUUAGCUUUUGUUUGUCUGGGGAAGACUUUAUUAUCCAUUUUAGACGGAAAACUUUGCUGAUAUAGUAUUCUUGACUGACGGGUUUUUUUGUUUGUUUGUUUGGCACUUUGAACAUAUCAUCUUAUUCUCUUCUAGCCUGCAAGGUUUCUACUGAGCAAUCUGCUGACAGUCUAAUGUGGAUUCCUUCAUAUGUGACUUGCUGCUUUUAAAGUUAUCUCUUUGUCUUUGGCUUUUCAAGUUUAAUUAUAAUGUUCUUUGGAGAGUACCUCUAUGAGUCAUAUCUUUUGGGGAACCUUUGAGAUUAAUGGAUCUGGAUGUCCAUAUCUCUCCAAAAACUUAGGAAGUUUACAGCAAUUAUUUUAUUAAAUAAGCUUUUUGUUCCUUCCUCUGUCUUUUCUUCUUGUUAAAUUUUAAUAAUGAAAAUGUUAUCUUAAAGCCGCCCACACUUCUCAUAAGCCAUCUUCACUCUUUUUCAUCUUUUUUCUUGUUGAGUCAUGUCAAAAGACCUAUCUUUGAGUUCACAGAUUAUUUCUAUGAUCUAGUCUGAUGUAGUCUGCUGUCAAAGCUCUCUACGAUAUUUUUCAUUUCAUUGAUUGAAUUCUUCAUCUCCAAGAUUUCUGUUUGGUUCUCUUUUAUGGUUUCUAUCUCUUCAUUGAAUAACUCAUUCAGAUAGCAAAUUAUUUUCCUGGUUUCAUCAAAUUAUCUGUCUGUAUUUUCUUGUAUCUCACUGAAUUCCCUUAAGAAUUACAUUAAAUUGUUGGGGUGGGAGGGCAAUUUAUAAAUUUCCAUUUCUUUGUGGUCAGUUACUGAAGAGCUAUCGUGUACCUUCAAUGAUGUCAUGUUUCCUUACUUUUUCAUGUUUUUUGUGUUUUGCAUGGGUAUCUCACAGUGUUGGCACUUCUUCCAAAUUUUAUAAAGUGGCUUUCAUAGAGGAAGACUUCCACCUGCAGAUGGGCCUGUGGGCCUGAAGGUGCCAAUUGGUCAGGGUACAGUGGCUCUGGUUCUGUGUGGGCACAAUGGUAUAGUCUCAAUGUAGCUUCUUCAGUUAUAAUCAAUGUCAAUGAAUUAUGAGUGUCUCAGUUGUCUAGGCUGCAGGAAUUUGUGGCAGUGGUAUUGGCUGUGUAGGUUAUCAAAGCAAGGGAUUUAGGGAUCCUCCUGUUCUUGCCUUCCCUAUAGCAAAGUAUCUUAACUGAGGGAAUUUUUCUUGUUGUCAUGUCUGACACAACCCACAAACAGCUGCAUUGGCAAAAGGAUUCAGGUCAUAGGUGCUCUGAGCAGCUAUAGAGUUGGGUUCCUGGGCUCAGGGUCUUGUGAAACUAUUGUAGCACCUAGGACUUAAGGUACAGGUUCACUUUCCAAGACAGAAAUGGAUGUAAUUCUCCCACUAAGCUGUGGUCUAUUGCACUGAGCAAACCCAAGCAGUUAGACCCCAGGGGUCUAAGAUGUAGGUGUGGUUCUGACCCUGGAAGGCAGGGCAAAGCCUUGACCCAGCUCUGAGGAACAAGGUAUGAUGUUCUGGAUGCUCAGGCUUUGAGGAGGAGGUUCUCAGCUGCUAUUUAGAACCCAAACCAGGGCAUAGCAGCCAGUGCUCCAGGUGAUGACAUAUUGCACAAUGGUAACUAUGGAUCUUGGGGUGGUAGGAUAUGGCAGUGGCCCAGGGUCUAUGAGGCCAGGUGCAGUAGCAGCAAGGACCCAGGAAUGUCAAGGCACUACUGUGGCUUGAUCCCUGGUGGGAGGGAAGCAGCACACCAAUAACUACCUUCUCCACGGAAGUAAGGCAUCUCAGCAGCUCAGACUGCAAGGGGCUAGCCCAAUUGUAAAUAAGCAGGAUACUGUGGCUAUUCAGCCUGGAGGAUCUGGUGGCACAGCACAACCAAGACUCUGAUUCCCUGGGAUGCAAGGCACUAUGUCUGAUCAGCCCCGCAGAGUGUGGCUACAUGGGUCAGCAUAUCCUCCAGACCCUUGGAAUAUGGUACACCUCAUCAGCUGUGGCACUAAGGGGUACAGCUACUCUAGUGUGCCAGGGGCUUGAAGCCGCCAGAGGACAAGAUGCUGCCUCAUCCAUGGUGCUGGGAGAAGAGGUUUUACUACUCUGGUAUGCUGGAAGCCUGGGAACCCCAAGAAGGAGGGCACUGUCUUGACUGUAGUAUGAGGUGCACAACUACUCUGGUGUACGGGUGGCCUGAGGAUCCUAGGGGCAGGACACAACUUCAGCUCAUCUCUAAGGAGAGGGCUACAUCAGCAACUAGAAUGGGGGGGAUGGAGCAGCUCUGUUAUAGCUUGGCCCUAGUGGGGCAGGAAAUAGCAAUGGCUCUGCUAGGGGAUGGCAAGCUACAGAGUGGGCAUGUCACAAUGGCAGCAAAGCCUCAGGGAUGGACAUGGGCAAUGGCUACUCCUGAAGCAGGAUGUUCUAGUUCCAAGACGGCACAUCACAGUAGUGGCAGAGGCCUUGGAGGGACAGAGCAGUACAUUGGCUUCUUCUCUGGGGUAUCUCAAUGUGUGGAUUCUGGGGAGCUUCCUUAGCUGGGCUUAGAGCCUGUGAGGACUGCGGGAAUAUUUGCUAGCAAAAACUAAAGGUGUUCACAGUGGUGAUGGGAGCUGUUGGGAUUCUCUUGCUUACCUUUUUAUGUAGGAAAGAAUCCCUCCUGCUUCCAAGCUGAUCCCAGCUGGGCAGGUGGGGUGGCAGAGACAAAGUGUUUUCUUCCCUUUCCUAUGUGGCCAGCCUGGGGCUAGGCUCCAGUAGAUUUUUGCUACUUUUUGCUGUUCUUUGGAGCUCUCCUUUAGUUAUGUUGAUCAAAAUGUAAGUUUUUAUUUGUUAUUUUGUUUUUUUUGUGGGAGGAAAAGGUACUAGAAGCUUCUAGUCAACCACUUUGCUGAUGCCCUCUAAUUUUGCCUGUGAAGGAUCAUUUGAAACUAUCACAGUGGUUUUAAGGAUAAAGUAAUUACUUAAGAAGCACUUACUCCAUACCUACAGCAGACUUGAAUCUUGGUCAAACACUGUUAUUAUUGUAAUGUAACUAAAUAGUGCUUUGGUGAUUUAUUCAGGUGAGCUUUUUUCUCAGGUGGUGAAAACUAGAAGGACAUUUUCAGUAUUUUAAAACUCCAUUUAUUUUAGUUCACUUUAAUUUUCAUUUCACUUUAUUAGUUUAGUUCACUUUAAUUCUGCCUCCACAUCUGUAGAUUCCACAUUUGCAGAUUUGACCAAGCAUGAGUCAAAAAUAUUUUUAAAAAGAAUAAAAAAUAACACUAAUAAAAGAAUAUAGUAUAACAGCCAUUUACAUAGCAUUUACAAUAAUUAGCUAUGAUAAGUAAUCUAGAUAUGAUUUAAAGUAUACAGGAAGUUGUUCAUAGGUUAUAUGCAAAUACUAUGCCAUUUUGUAGAAGGCACUUCGGCAUCUGCAAAUUUUGGUAUCCACAGGGUGUCCUGGAAUGAAUAUUUUGUGGAUACUGAGGGACAACUGUACAUAUGUCUUCACAGACUAAAAGAUAAGGCAGAAAUAGAUCCAAGCUAAUAAAUCUGUUAGUUAUACAUAUAAUUCUUUGAGAAGAAAAAAGGGAGUAAUUCAUUCUUUGAGAAUUCAGAAGGUAGAGUAGAGGUAAAGAAGUGUUAGAAAAAGCUGCAGAAAAGAGGCAAAAUUUGAUCUGGAUUUUAAGAGAAGAGCUAGAGAGGACAGGGCAACCUGCAGGGCAGAAGGCGGGCAUAAUGGUGGCGUGCAUGAGUAGGAGGGUUUUCUUGGUAGAAAACAGUAUUCUCCGAUCACUGUUAACAGGCCCAGUGACAGGGUAGCUUCAUCCUCUUGCUAAUUAAAAGUGCAUCUCGUGCUCACGUUCCAGACUCAUCAACAGGAAGAAAACAAGAGGCUUAGGUGAGGGCCUAAGUGUCCAUGGAAUUCAUAAGAGGAGGGCAGCUAAUAUUUUACCUUUCAUUUGGUCCAAGUUGUCAGACUGAAGUACCUGGAAGAUUAGACAUGUUAGGGAUAUUUAGGCAAACAAGAGCCUAGGGCUUCAGCAAUCAUCAAAUUCUCUUCUGUGGACUUGGGGAGUGACAGCAGGUACCCAGGUUAAUAAAGACCACAAAAAGAAUGCUGGAGGUAUUAUUAAGCUUCCCCAGAAGGCGGUUUGAAACAGUCAAAUGCAUUUCAGAGCUUCUAGAACAGAAUAAAAAUAAAGAGUGCUGUAAUUUAAAUGUUAAUAUCUCAUCAAGUUUUAUGUAUGUGAGGAAAAAGAGAGGGCAGCUCCAUAGUCUCUUUUCCGGAAGCUGAUAAGUAGCAGUAAACAGCUGGCUGCCCUCAAUUCAAACAUUUUAUGCUGCCUUUGUGAUCCAUCUUCUCUACCAUGUGGUAACAUCAAAUUAGAAGAGGCAGGCUUGAGAGCUUUUUAUUCUGAGGCCAGAUCACAGCAUGUGAAGAAACAUAGUUCUGUAAAAGAAUAGUGCUUCUCCAGCACCCAGGGCUGCUCAUCUAGUGAGACAGGAUGAGGUUAUCUUGGUGUUUCCUGGCAACACGUGAUGCAGUGAAGCUGUUACUCAGGAUAGAACCACCCCAUCAGUGUGUAUUAAUUAAAUGCUCAGGUAACUAUGGAGGCAUGUCAACAUGCUUCUCAAAGAGCAUUUUAAGAGCAACAAUUAUGGUAGAGCAAUUAGAAUGCUAUUGUGUGGGCAGCAAGAAAGCACUAAAGCCCACAUUAAAAUUUGAUCACAUCAUAUUAGAACCACAUGUAGGAUGUCAAUGAAUGUUUUGAAGAGUGUAUUGGGGGUGGGGGAUUACUACUGUUAAUCACGCUGCAUGUGUGAACAAUAUGUGUGAACUAGCAUUACUAGUGAUAUCACUGGGAUUACUAUUACUUCUUUGUAAGGGAUUAGUUUCUGCCAAGAACAGUUCUAGGCAUUUUACUUCAUUGAACCUUCACAGGACUGAGAUGUAAACUAUAUUGCCAAUACUAUUAUUUGCCACAUUUUUCAGAUGAGGGAACUCAGAUAUUAAGAUGUUAAGAAUAUCCAAGGUCAUGCAGCUAAUUAAUGGUGGAGUUAGAAUUUGAACCUAGGCCAUCUGGCCUAAGAGUCUAAACUGUGACUACUAAGCCCUGUGUUUUCUUUCCCAGGCAGGAGAGGAAGAGGCCAUUUAUCAUGUGUAUAAGGAGAGAAAUGUCUAUUCUUUUACCUCCUCUAAAUAUUCCCCAAAACGUAUCUGCUACCUAAUUUCUGAUGUUAAUGCUGCUUUAAUAAAAGACAAAAUAUCUUAUUUCAUAAGCAAAACUAAACCUCAGGGAAUAUUUGCAUAGUGACUAAAUAUAGACUAACAUGUAAACAACCAAUGGAGAAUUGGAUAUCUGAGAGGAUUUUCUUGGACACUAAACACCAGUAUUGAGAAAGUAGCAGGUAACAGGGCUGGAAUUAGCAAAGACACACUUAUUGCUUAAUUUUCAAUAUUGUCUGGGUCAGUGACGCAUGCUCUUAAAAUAUUCUGCUCUAUUUUUGCAUUGUUUAUAUUAUGCUACAAGGCUUCCUGUAUGCAUGUACAGCAAUGCUUUGUAGGCAUAAAGUGCAACACCUUUUCCCACCAGUGGAUUAUUAGGGUAAGCAAUAUGAAUGUUUUGACUCUUAUGGAGAAGUGUCAAAUGAUGCAGCCCAAAUCACCUUUUCAUGUAUAAUCAUCUCUGUUUCUGAGCUCCUAUUACAUGUAUGUUUUAUAUAAAUCAUACUGGCACUUAAUCAUUUAUUAUUUUGAAUUAUAAUAUUAUUAUUUUAUGUUUACAUGUCUUCUUCUCCAAGUCUAAGAGGCUAGAGUGUGUAUUACAGUUUUUCAUAUUCUUUUCUCUGUUUAGAGAAGCUUUUUAUUCAAUGCAAUGAUUCAAUGAAUAUUUGUUAAGAUAAUAUUACAAAAUUUCUUAUUCAAUCUAUUGAGGAUUUUUACUUUAUUUGUCACAUUUUCAUAUGUUGAACUCUUACUGAAUUCUCAAAGUCAUGUUUUCUGGAAAAGCUUGUAGAACAAGGGUAUGAUUUGGUUUUGCCAAUGUUUAAAAGAAAGCACCACUAAAUCUGCCCAUUUUAGGUAUUUUGAAGGCAGAGGGAACAGAUUUUAUAGAAUAUUUUCAUUUUUCUACUAAAUGAUUAAUCUACUGAGAUUGUCUACUUCUUCAGUCAAUAUUGAUGCUUUAUAUUGUUUUAUUAAGACUUUUUAGUUUAUAAAACUAUGUUUGAAAUUGAGAGAGACAUACUGAUAUUUUGGUUGACUUUCUAUAUAUUAUUAUGUUUAUUAUUUUUAAUUUUAUGUUUGUGCUUUUCCUUUUAUAUAUUUAAUGAUUUUGUAUUAUUUACAUUGAUUAAAAGUAUUAAAACAUGUUUAUUAAUUCAA